rnacentral:tRNA from 1 species
GCCCGGCUGGCUCAGUUGGUAGAGCAUGUGACUCUUGAUCUCAGGGUUGUGAGUUCAAGCCCUAGGUUGGACA